rnacentral:tRNA from 1 species
AAGGUUUUAGGUUAAAAAAACUAGUAGCCUUCAAAGUUUCUGAUAAGAGAAUACCUCUUAAACCUUA